GGAUUGUUAGCUCAGUUGGGAGAGCAUCUGCCUUACAAGCAGGAGGUCGGGGGUUCAAGUCCCUCACAAUCCACCA
rnacentral:tRNA from 1 species